UGGGCUACUAGCCUGCAGCUGGAUGCAAUAGUGCGACUGGGACUGUGGCCCAGCUGUGCAGGAACUCAGGCUUGGCUGAUUUCCUCUAACAGCAGAUGUGUCAGACAACUCCACCAGUUGCUCUUGGCAGCCUGCAGUGCCAUUUGGCUGUGGUUUUACUUCUAUCUCUCCUGCUUUUCAUUCUUGUUUGUUUAGUCUUGAUUCCUGUUCCUGCCUUCUUUGUGUUCAGCUCUUAGACCUCACCUUGUUCCAGAUCUGACUUACCUCCUGAUAGAGACUUGCCAACUUCCAAACUUCUGGCUCUGCGGUUUUCUGACUAUGCUGCUCAUUUCAGUAUGUACUUAUCUUUGUGUCUCUGGUGUCUUGACUCAUGUUGGCUCCAGCACUUGAUCCCAAACUUAAUCCAGGUUUUCACCUUAGUGCUUAACACAGUAUUGCAACAAAAUUGCCAGGUCACAGCCUGAACCAAUGGCUCAACACCAGGUGAACAGGCAUAGCUAACCCAGAGAGUUCAGGUGCAAGCAAUGCACCUGAAUGGCUGGAAGGGAGGAGCAUGAAUUCACCCCUCCUUGCCAUCAUUUAUGGGUUAGCAGCUGAGGAAGCAGUGUCUUUCUGGAUAGAGACAGCACUUGAACUUGGCUGGCUGUUUGAAGUUAUAGGCACUGCUGCUUUCUGGAGCUGCUAUGCACUCAGAAGAAUUGUCAUGUCUUAACUAAAAUGGAAAAUGAGUGCCCAUAUGAGGCAAAGAGAAAGAGAGGACUGACUUCAGACUUGAAACGAUUCCCCUUUCCCCCACAACCCCAGUUCUCAAAGGCCUUGUCUCCAGCACCUGCGAUCAGAAGUGACUGCUCUUCAGAAAAUGACAUCUCCUCAUUUGCUAUGCUGGGCUUCUGCCCUACUAGGGGAUGAGCCUACUAACAAUGCUACCAAGGCUUCAUGAUUCAAGAAGUCAAGUGCGUCAGAAUUUGCCCAUAAAUCUAUGGACUGUGUUCUUUCCUUUCAAAGAGGUGAUCUCCAUGUUCUCUUUCUACUGUUAAAUGAAAGAAAGAAAAGAAAGGACCAUAAUAGAACUCAGAUUCUGUGAAAAAGAAAUCUGUCUGCAGUAAAGGAGAUCCUGUGAGAAACAGCUGAAGGAAGAAACUGUGCAGAUGGGAAGGGGCAGGGUGGAAAGGAACAUGUAAGCACUGAGGGAUUUAUACGACCUUUACUAGUAACAUGGAUUGAAAUACAGAUAUACUUUUUUUUUCAACUCUUAUGUUACAAGAAAACAGGAGGUAUUGUGUGAAUUUUGUCUCUUUCUUUCCCUCAUGGCACAGAUGAGGGAUUUGAAAAUGCCACUGAAGCAAGUCAGGAGGUUGAAAAUGCACCACAUCACAAUGAAGCAACGUGAGGUCUUUUACCUGUGAACUGAAAUCUGGCCAUACUGCAGCUUGUAGAUGUGACAUGACGUGGAAUUUGGCAGUGGUACUCACCUUUAUCUUACAUAAGCUUAUCUGAAAACUUGUUAAAAAGAAAUGAUCUGAAAUGGGGAUUCUGCCUUGGAAAGGAAGGCUACACGCAGGAGAUGCAUAAUCAAGAUUCUAAGACAUUUCAUAAGACAAAAUUGGAGAACACUGACAGGCCUAGAUGGCAUAUCAUAAAAGUUGUAAGAAAAACUGCUAAGAAGCUGGGUAGCUUUCAGAAUUCCUAUAAACAUUCUGGAGUUGUGAACUGACUGUUUGUUUAGGUCAGCAGCAACAGUCAUACUUCUUCAUUGGAAAAAAAUCAGAGCUGAAUCUUUGUCCUGUGACUAAUGGGGGAAGCUAGUGUGAGCUGCAAGACCCAGUGUCUCUGCUCUUGCAGCCUAUCAAGAAGAAUCAAAGUGACUCAUGCAAACAGCCUGCAGUCACAGAAGGACAGAUCCCAACUGGUCGUCUGUAUCUCACAAAGCUGUGUCCCACACAGUGUAACACCCAAAUA